GAUGAACGCUGGCGGCGUGCUUAACACAUGCAAGUCGAACGGGAAUUCAUUUAUUGCUACUUCUGUCGGUUUGAUUUAAUUCUACGGGCGGGGGGUUGAGUAACACGUAGUUAUUCUUGGUUAUACAGGGGGGUAACCUUCAGAAAUGGCUGCAUAUACCGCAUAAGCGCAAGGAGCGGCAUGUCGCAGUGUGCAAAAGUCAGGGGGGAUAAGAUGGAUCCGCGUGGGAGUAGAUGGUUGGUGGGGUAACGGCCCACCAAGGCGACGAUCCAUAGCCGGGCUGAGAGGGUGAACGGAGACAUUGGGACUGGGACACGGCCCAGAAUCCUACGGGAGGGAGCAGUGGGGAAUAUUGCAAAAUGGGGGAAACCAUGAUGCAGCGACGCCGCGAGAAGGAAGAAGUAUCUCGGUAUGUAAACUUCUAUAAGCAGGGAAGAUAGUGACGGUACCUGACUAAUAAGCCCCGGCUAACUACGUG
rnacentral:rRNA from 1 species